UAAGCACUCCGCCUGGGGAGUACGACCGCAAGGUUGAAACUCAAAGGAAUUGACGGGGGCCCGCACAAGCGGUGGAGCAUGUGGUUUAAUUCGAAGCAACGCGAAGAACCUUACCAGGUCUUGACAUCCUUUGACCACUCUAGAGAUAGAGCUUUCCCUUCGGGGACAAAGUGACAGGUGGUGCAUGGUUGUCGUCAGCUCGUGUCGUGAGAUGUUGGGUUAAGUCCCGCAACGAGCGCAACCCUUAUUGUUAGUUGCCAUCAUUUAGUUGGGCACUCUAGCGAGACUGCCGGUGACAAACCGGAGGAAGGUGGGGAUGACGUCAAAUCAUCAUGCCCCUUAUGACCUGGGCUACACACGUGCUACAAUGGGAAGUACAACGAGUCGCUAGACCGCGAGGUCAUGCAAAUCUCUUAAAGCUUCUCUCAGUUCGGAUUGCAGGCUGCAACUCGCCUGCAUGAAGCCGGAAUCGCUAGUAAUCGCGGAUCAGCACGCCGCGGUGAAUACGUUCCCGGGCCUUGUACACACCGCCCGUCACACCACGAGAGUUUGUAACACCCGAAGUCGGUGAGGUAACCUUUUUGGAGCCAGCCGCCUAAGGUGGGAUAGAUGAUUGGGGUGAAGUCGUAACAAGGUAGCCGUAUCGGAAGGUGCGGCUGGAUCACCUCCUUUCUAAGGAA
rnacentral:rRNA from 1 species